UACGAGGGGGGCGAGCGUUGUUCGGAAUUAUUGGGCGUAAAGGGCGCGUAGGCGGCUUUCCGCGCGUGCGGUGAAAGCCCGGGGCUCAACUCCGGGUCGGCCGUGCGGACGGGGGAGCUAGAGUCUGGUAGAGGCUGAUGGAAUUCCGGGUGUAGCGGUGGAAUGCGUAGAGAUCCGGAAGAACACCGGUGGCGAAGG
rnacentral:rRNA from 1 species